rnacentral:rRNA from 1 species
GACGAACGCUGGCGGCGUGCUUAACACAUGCAAGUCGAACGGAAAGGCCCUGCUUUUGCGGGGUGCCCGAGUGGCGAACGGGUGUGUUACACGUGAGUAACCUGCCCUUGACUUUGGGAUAACUUCAGGAAAGCGGGGCUAAUACCGGAUAGGAGCUCCUGCUGCAUGGUGGGGGUUGGAAAGUAUCGUCUGUUGGGGAUGGACUCGCGGCUUAUCAGCUUGUUGGUGGGGUAGUGGCUUAGCAAGGCUUUGACGGGUGGCCGGCCUGGGAGGGUGAACGGGCACAUUGGGACUGAGGUACGGCGCAGACUCGUACGUGAGGCAGCAGUGGGGAAUAUUGCACAAUGGUCGGAAGCCUGAUGCAGCGACGCCGCGUGCGGAAAGACGGCCUUCGGGUUGUAAACCGCUUUCGCCUGAGACGAAGCGGGAGUGACGGUAAUAGGUAAAGAAGCACCGGCUAACUACGUG